GGCUGAGCCUAAUUUCCCCACAGAAUAGCAUCCGGCCUAUAGACACCGGGAAGCAUUCCCCGUCCCUUGUCUCACUCCCCUCGACUCCGCGAGCUCGAGCGGGAGAGCGCCGCCGCUGCCUGCCGAUCUCCUCCUCCGACCUCGCGACUGCAGCUUCUCCUCCGCCGACGUCUCAGGAGCAGAGCAACAUCAGGACGUGGGCUGGACGCAGUGAGUAGGUGAUCUGACACACGCUUCUCUUCCUCUCCCUGGCCCUUCCUAGGUCGGCCUCUCAUUCCAGAGCACUUGAUGGAAGCAAUUCAUCUCUUUUGUUCAUCCACGUGAUUUUUCUUUGGUUUUCUUGGAAGAAACUACUACCUAGCUAGCUAGUAUUCUAUCUCCAUGGUCCGUCUUCUCCAUGAUUUUUAGCUCCAACUGUGGACAACGCCAUAUGAAAACGAUUCAUCUCUGUUAACAGUGUCUGGUGGUUGAUACAAUCUUUUGAUUGCUGAUUUUCAUUGAUCUCAGUAGUUAGUAAUAUAGGAUUUGCAUGGUGUGAAUUUUUUAGCCAUGUCUCAUCAUGAGUAUGUUAGUUGGUGCCGAUCGAGGUGGAUUAAGCUUAUAUGUAAUAGCAUGUGCCUGUUACCCCCAAGGACCAUACAGUAACUAUUUUGCUAUUUUGGAUGAUAUCUUGAUAACAUACGGAUUAAGCCUAUAUGGACUAGUAUAACA